AGUUAAUUAAUUUAAUAAAAAUAUAUAUUUUGAAAAUAUAAAAAAGACUAACGUUUAUUAACUU
rnacentral:tRNA from 1 species